GACGUAGGGCGCGAGCGUUGUCCGGAUUUAUUGGGCGUAAAGAGCUCGUAGGCGGCUUGUCGCGUCGACUGUGAAAUCCCGCGGCUCAACUGCGGGUCUGCAGUCGAUACGGGCAGGCUAGAGUUCGGUAGGGGAGACUGGAAUUCCUGGUGUAGCGGUGAAAUGCGCAGAUAUCAGGAGGAACACCGAUGGCGAAGGCAGAUCUCUGGGCCGUAACUGACGCUGAGGAGCGAAAGCAUGGGGAGCGAAACAGG
rnacentral:rRNA from 1 species